UACGUAGGGAGCAAGCGUUGUCCGGAAUCAUUGGGCGUAAAGCGCACGUAGGCGGAAUGUUAAGUCAGGGGUGAAAUCCCGGGGCUCAACCCCGGAACUGCCUUUGAUACUGGCAUUCUCGAGUCCGGAAGAGGUGAGUGGAAUUCCGAGUGUAGAGGUGAAAUUCGUAGAUAUUCGGAAGAACACCAGUGGCGAAGGCGGCUCACUGGUCCGGUACUGACGCUGAGGUGCGAAAGCGUGGGGAGCAAACAGG
rnacentral:rRNA from 1 species